rnacentral:misc_RNA from 1 species
GAUGAAGAACGUAGCGAAAUGCGAUAAGUAAUGUGAAUUGCAGAAUUCAGUGAAUCAUCGAAUCUUUGAACGCACAUUGCGCCCGCCAGUAUUCUGGCGGGCAUGCCUGUCUGAGCGUCAUUUCAACCCUCAUGCCCCUAGGGCGUGGUGUUGGGGAUCGGCCAAAGCCCGCGAGGGACGGCCGGCCCCUAAAUCUAGUGGCGGACCCGUCGUGGCCUCCUCUGCGAAGUAGUGAUAUUCCGCAUCGGAGAGCGAUGAGCCCCUGCCGUUAAACCCCCAACUUUCCAAGGUUGACCUCAGAUCAGGUAGGAAUACCCGCUGAACUUAAGCAUAUCAUAAGCGGGGA